GGAAGAAGCUGGAGGGCAGGGAGGGCUGCAUGUGUGCCCUCAGCUCCUGCGGGAUGCCGUUAGCCACAUGCAGCAGCAUCUGCAAUGAAGUGCACGUGUCAGAGACGAGCAGGGGCCAUGGGGCCAUGUGUGGGGAGCGGGCGGUCACAGGAUGGGGCAGGUGGCCAGUGCACCUGAUGCUGUAUGGGUGGGGGUCUGGGAGGGGUGGCGGGGGCAGGGUGCUCCACCAGGCUCCAGAGGGUGGGGCGGCUACCAGGCAAGUCCCGCCAAAUGCAGUGGAGAGCAGGGUGGGCGCUGGGACAGGCUCUGGAGAAGACGAGGAGAGCCCAUGCAGGCCCUGGUGCCCCUGAGAGCAGCAUGGUGUCCAGACGGCGUGCCUGGGCAAGUGGAGAGCUUUAGCGUCUGGAGGGAGGGUGGGGGCACCUGCAGGGCCUGCGAGGUCAGGAGGCUGCUCUGCUCCAGGACAGGGCUGCCGCCCCAGGUGGUGCACAGGGAGCCCUCACGUGUGCUUGUGACACGGGUGCUCAGCGGUGGCCAUGGCCUUCAGGGCCCCCCACUGGCCUUCUGAGCUGCAAUCUGCCCAGCAACGCGGGAGUGGCACGCGGAGGAUGGGCCAGGCGCCAGCACUUGUCUGUGCAUGGGGACGGGUCCUCAUGGAGCAUCCGCAGGGCCUGCCUGGCGAGGACGCGGUGCUUCAUGCGGGCACCUGCGGGACAGGGGGCCUGAGCUCCCCUCUCUGUGCAGACAUGGGUCCUGGAACCAGAGCAGGCCCCAGCAGCGCCUCACCUACGCCGACCGCCCACCGGUCAGCACCAAGGAGGUCGUUCCCCACGGGGACACCGCCUGGCCAGAACAUCUUCAGGAGCUGCUGGGAGUGGCAGGCGCGGGUGCAGCGGGCCAGGCUGCUCAGGGGCACCACCAGCGUGUCGGCGGCACUGGCGAGGUCCCGCACUCGCGCAGGUAGGAGGGGACCUUGUCCCGGAGCGCUCAUGCCUGGAGGGGGCAGGGCACGCGCCCGGCACCCUGUUGUUGGGAUUUGUUGUGACAGCUUGAGGAUGGCAACAGGUGUUAGAGAAACUGGCUCCUUUCUCUCCCGACGGUGUCUUCACACCUCACUGCCUUCAUGGAGCGGAUGAGCUCUUUGUACCUAAACCGGGGCAGGAGGGAAAGUGUGUCACCAUGACACCUGCGGACCCACCCCAGCUGUCCAGGCCCUGCCCACUCUCCAGCGGCCGUCACCCCGUGCUCGGAGCUGGCCCACUCACGCAGGGUCAUGAGUGAGACCCUCCGGCAGAGGCGCCCCCCCAGCCCUGGAGGGUGGAGGCUGAGUCGCAGACCUUCAAGCCAAACAGCCACAGGCUCUAAUUAUGGGGGAGGGGGACUUCAGUGGGGAGACACUAAGUCGUUCUUAACGUGUCACAGCAGGGAGGCCUUCUGAGCAGGACCCAAACCCUGAAAACAACAGGAAGACGACAGGUUUAACUCAUAAAAACUAAAAAGUUCUGUACAAGCAGUGACAACAACAAGGAUACGCUAGGAAAAUUACUGACGGUCGACGUACAGCAGAGAGUCAACCACCUUUGUUUACAAAGAGCCGUAUAAACUGGCACAACCACAAUGAAACCCAGAACGAAGCCAGAAAGCCAGCCGAGGCCCAGAUGGCGGGGGCCUCGCAUGCGCACUGGCUGCAUGGAGGGCGCGUCCCCGGCACUUGGGGCAACCGCGGGCCCUGGGAGCGGCAGGUGGGUGGGGGCGAGGGGGCAACAGCCUGGCCCAGGGCGGCGUGUUCACAGGCCAGCUACUUUAGGGCCCGUUGUAUUACUGACAACCAGGAGUGUCUGGCAGCUCCUCGGGACGCUGUGCAAACCCAGCCUGGAAGACGCACCCCCAACCUGAAGAACGUGAGGGGUCCAGCCUGCCCACAACAGCCUGGGCCAGGGUCCCCAGGCAGGGCACUCUGGACACAGCAGCCCAAGACCACUACUGUCCCCCGCCUUCCCUGGAGGGACUUGAGAACUUACUGCCUGUGCUCUCGACCCCCCAGCCCCAAGGACGGUGAAGACCUCCCAGAGAAACUUUCAGGUGUCCAGUAAUGUUUGGGCCUUUUAAGAUGGAGGUCAGCAGCCUGUGGUCCCACAGCACAACAUUCAGACUGAAAGGAGGACAGAUGCAGCAAGGUCCUGGGGACCAGUCUUCCUGCUCAGGCAUGGUGGGCGCCCAGGUGAGCUGCACCCAGAUGAACAGUGCCCUGGUGAGUGGCACCCAGGUGAAUGGCACCCAGGUGAGUGGUGCCCAGGCCCCCACCCUCAGCACCACUGCUGGGUGCCCGACAGGCUCCUACGACCCGAGCACUGGCCCAAAGGCAGCAGGGGAGCCCGCUCGCCAGCCUGGAAAAUGGGCUCAAAGAGUGAGUGAGGCCACAGCAAGGGCCCAUUUACCUGGAGAGUCAGAUGCGCCGGUGAACUGAGUACCCGGCCAGCCAGCUAGCUGUUGAGGUCAGCACGCAGGUGAACAGACGCACAGAGCCCGUGGGACACCAAUAACCCUCCCCCAGCCCCCAGAGUCCCGAGAAGGCCUGGAGCUUUGCGCAGGGGCUCAGGGACGUGUCACGGAGCACCAGCAUCCGCCAGAGGUGUCACGUGAUCCUGUUCGAGGAAAGGGGCUGGGCUGGGUCUCAGCUUCAGUGGGCAGAAAGGGACAAGGAGGGGACUGGCCAUGUGAGCAGCCAGGAGGCGCCUCCUCUGCGGGUGAGGGCCAGGCCCCAGCUCCCCUGCCUCGGGGCGCUUGCGGUGCCCCUGGGCCGAGGGCUGGCCAGGGACUCAGGACACAGGGUCUCGGCAGCGACAAGGGCUCUCGCUUCCAACGAUGUCACCAAACAGUGACUCAACUCCAGAGGAUGGAAAAGCAACCGCGCAAGUCUGCGAGGCCCAUUCUGCCUUGCACGUGUGCACACACACUACACACACAUGUGCUUCCUGUGGCACCAGAGCACAGGACGGGCUGAGUGCUUCUGGCUGUGCAGAGGCUGGGGAGAGUGGGUGACAGCAAACCAAGGGUGAGCACAACUCGCCGUCACACAGAAGACCCUCAGGGCUGGCAGCAGGUCUGGAAAGUCCUGCUCAGGACUCAGAGGGUCACCUCCCAGGGAGUUUGGAGCCGGCUGUGGAGGAGACUCGGCCAGCAGCUGCAGGGCCAGCAGGAGCCACUCUGGAGCCCGCGAGGAGCUCCCUGGGCCAUAGCAGCCCCGCCUCUGCCCCCGAUCAGCAGAGAGGGAUGCAUGCUCAGGAGCGGGGAGGGCCGCCUGGGACACAGGGCAGGACAAGGGCAAGGAGAACGGAGCACAGGCCACAGGCCAUGCCGACGCAGUGACACCUCCCAAGGGAGUUGGCUGUGCCGACCCGGCCCCCCAGUACAGUGCUGUCAGAGCCGUAGAAGGCGGAUGCCAUCUGUGUGUGACGCGGCCGAGCAAAGCCAAGCCACCACCGGGACCGGCUGCGGUGGGAUGCUGCCCGCUGCUGGGCAGAGGCCACGCUGGAUGGGAGGUACAGGGAGCUCAGUGUUGGGGGUGGUGGAGCCUCCUGUGCAGCCGAGAGUGGGCCCGGUGGGCUGUGCUGCUCUGAGGGCGCAGGAUACAGGGGGAAGGGGCAGCCGGCCCAGCUCAGAGAAGCAGGCCGCGGGGCUGCUGGCAAGGAUGCGAAUGUGGGCCAGAGGCCACGACCCAGGUGUCUCGCACUCACUGCCCGAGGCCUGACGCAUCCUCUGGAAACAGGUGUUUAUAGUAAACGUGUAGUUUCUAUGAGCAAAGGCAUUCCUCGCAGAGUGACGUGGCUCCUGCGUGCAUGCAGGAAGGUUCCUGUGCAGCGCACAUUUGGACAUGAGGUGGCCUGUCUGUGCUCGGUGCUGGUGCAGGGGCAGGGUCUUCGGGGCGCCACCGAGACCUCCCUCCUCCUGCCCCCAGUGCCCAUCUUUGAUGACGCCAGCACUGCAAGGGUCAGUGCAGCAUGGUGCUUGCUGGCGACCUCGUCCCCUGCCACCUGGAGCCCUUGGAGAUUGACACAGACCUGCGGCAUGCCAGUGAACGGGCGCGGGCUCAGGGUGUGUGGGCCCCACCCGGGGGGUGCUGGCAGCUGGCCUGUCCCUUUCAGGGGAGCGUCUGCCGCAGUUUGUGUGGGAGCUUGCCAGCUCAUGUUGGUUGUGGCCACACUCCAGCUGGUGCGCCCUCCACCAGCGGCCCCAAAAAGAGCCCACGCACCAGUGGGGGGCUGUAGCGGGCCUGGGCGUCAGGGCCUGUGGCAUCCACGGGAGCAGACUCUGCCCUGAGUGCUAGAGCAGAAAGUGGUGGCCACUCUGUGGCCGGUGAGGAGGGUCCCUGCAUGUCCAGUGGUAGCCUUGCAGAUGAGGAUUGAGGACAGCUCUGAGCAGUCCCAACAGUGAUCCCAGGUGGGAACCUGGGUUAGCUGGACGUUUACAUCUGGGAAUCGGGGUGCUGAAGUACCGCCUCUGCUGGUUUAUGGGUGCUGCCUCCUUAACCAGGGCGGGAGCCCUUGGACCUCUGCUUUCUAAGCUGGGGUUUGGUUACCCGAACGUGAAGGGACCGGACACCUUUUUCACCCGCAGGUGCCAGAGGUUUUCAGGUUGGUGUCCUUGGUCAGCGGGGUGGAGCAGGAGCACCCCCAGGCCUCCACCAACAUGCUGCUGGGUGCCAUGAAGGAGAUCGCACCACAGAGGACCCUUCCUCAUAAGCUGCGCCGCCCCCCAACCCCCGAGGGCAACCCCUCGGCCCCUCCCCUCCUCCAGGCUCUCUGCGGUUGGCCCUGAGGGAUGUCACUGCCUGCCCCCAGCAUGGGGGCCGGUUGUCGCACUGCUUUAUCAACCUGCUCCGGUCAUUUCCAGGAGGCUCCUGGCAGGACCCUGCUCACCCAUCGGACCCAGCCAGCACACCAGCCUAGCAGAGAAACCUACAGCUUCACAUCCAGGGUGAAGCCAGUCAGAGGGCAUAGGCAGAGCCCCCAGGAUACCGCCAUCAUGGUGAUCACCACAAAACCCCCAGUGGUUAGAAAACAAACACGACCUCAACAGGAAAGGCAGAGGCUCGUGCCACUGACUGGGAGGCCCACAAGCAGGAUGGAGUUCCUGGGGUUCAUGUCUGUGUUGGUCUCAUCAUCGCUGAUCCAAAUCUCAGACUCAUUGAGGACAGUGUCUUUGCUGGGCCCCAUGGCGCCUGCAAUCAGAGCUGCAGCACCUAUGGGCAUCCAGCUAGACCGUGGGCAACCACACCAGCUCACAGACGGUCACCGAGGAUGGCCCAAGCAGGCAGGGCCUGAGAGACCACCUAUCCCAAGAGCACCUGUUAGGAGCAGUGUCCUCAGACCUUUACCCCUUUCCAGUCUCAAAGCCGCCAGGCACAAACCUGAGGACAAAUAGCUGUGCUCUCUGCACUGUCCCCAAGCUGGCGGGUGGGAGCUGCCUCACUCACCAGGGGCGAGAGUGGAGCAACUGUGGGCCGCAGUUAUUCUCCUAUCGUUGUUAACAUGGCCCUCUACAAAUGUGAAAGUCAUUCUUAGCUCAAAGGCCACACAACGCAGGGGCAGCCCCUGCUCCAACUAGAGGAAAUUUGGAAAAAGAAGGGACAAAAGUGGAAGAAGGAGGGAGCUGAAGGGUGUGUGUAGCUCUGCCCACGCUGCAGGGAGGCUAGACUGAGCACUGCAUGGCCCCAGCUGCCUGAGGGGCCGGCGUCCCCACGUCCUCAGAGAAAGGGCUGAGAAGCCUGCAGCCUUGAUGAAGAACAGCCCCACACCCAGUGUCCCGCUCCUCAGGGUCUGCCCAGGGAGGCCGGCCAGCCCCCUCACUGUCACCGUCUCCCCCCAUCCCCGCUUUCGCACGUCCCGUCACCCUCUGCCCCCAUCUCCGCUCUCGCACGUCCAGGCCCCCAGCGAGGCCGGCCAGCCCCCGCUCCGCCGGAUGCGGUCCGGCCCGCGGACGCGCCUUCUGGGCAGUCCAGAUCUCAUAGCAGUCCGGACCCCGGCCCCGACUCCCCUGCAGCCCCCCGCGCCGAAGCCCAACCUGCGCCCCGGCCCACCUGGGCGAGCCCCCGACGGCCUGCAGCCUCAACCCCGCCAUCCUCCAACGUUUCAAUUGCCCGCCGCGCUUCGCCAGCUCACUUCCGCCUUGGGAGGCCACUUCCGGGUCAAAGCCGGAAGGGGCGGGGCGUGAAGAGGAGCAGCCGUCGCGAGGGGCGGGGCUUCCGCGUUACGUCGUGCGUCACGCGGCCAUCUUGGAGCCGGGCAGCGCGUAAGUUGGAGCGGAAGUGCAGCUUGGAGGGGUUCCUCGCUGUCUGCUGUGUGACUUUCAAAUUAUUCCUUUGAGCUGGUUUCCCCGAAGUGCAAUUUCGUGGCUAGAAAGGUUUUCUAGGCUGGUGUCAAAUUUGGUCAAAUGACCUUCGAGGGGGCCGGACGCUCACGCCAGCGGCGUUGGCGAGCGAGUCGAGCCGUGGGGCUCCGUGCAGAACGGGCGUUGUUGGAGGCAGACGACAGAGCCGGGCCGAGCCCCCCGGCCCCCCUCCCGGGUCCUCACUCAGCUGCACCCACUCAGGCCCGUUCUGGAACCUGAGCAGCUCCGUGGUUACUGUUCAAGGUGGGUCUUUGGAAGGUCUGUGUCAGAGCUUGACAGCAGGCACCUGAGUGUUUGACAUUUGCUGCUGGACCAUGGGCUGCAGCGAUGCCCCGCGGCGGGGGCUCCGGACGCGCCGAGGUCAGGCCCAGGAGAGGAGCUGUGACGUGGGCACCCCUGCGAAGCCUGGGCUCCCUGGUGACCCUCUCUGAUCUCGCCCCCCGCCGUCUGUGCCAUGGUGUGGAUGGCGCUCCCCCGGGGCAGGUCUGCCCCAGGACGCCGCGCCGCGUCUGGACACGUUUCGGGUUGUCAUGACCGGGGUGCUCCUGGCGUCUGGUGGGUGCAGGCCUGGGGUGCCGCUCAACACCCACGCGCCCAGGGCGGCCCCACCACUGUCCUCUCGGUGAGUCCCCGAGUGCUGGCCUCGAGGCCGCUUCUCCGUGUCCCUCCACGUCCCCUCCUGUCGCCUGGCCCCGUGCUCGCCGGCUCCUUCCUUCCCUCCUCGAGCCCCUGGCCCGGCCCCGGGUGGGGUCUGGGGUGUGCGGGUGGCAAAGUGCCGUCUGGAGGUCUACGUCUAACGGGGGCAGACGGCCCACAACAGGGCAGCGUGAGAAAUGCUGCCUGCUGGAUCCAGAGGACCUGGACCGGGUCUCGGGCCGGGUCUGCGGGGGGUAUCUUGCAGGAGGGUCCCAGCAGCUCUGUCAGGACGGUUACGUUUCGCCUGCACCCAAAAAAGACGCUUCUCGAGACCUUUCCACAGGACCCUUGUAGCUCAGAAGGCAGAAGCCCCGCAGCUUCGCGUCGUGCAUGGUGUCAGGCCGUCCAUCCUCCCUCAGCUGGCUGGGCCCACCCGUGGCCCCCCUGCCCACCCUCGCCGCUAGGUGGAGCCGCAGGCCCACGCCGUCACCGCCGUGGGUUCCAGAAUCUUAGCCGCCCACUGGCUCUCCAGCUCGGGUCCCAGCACCCCUGAACUCUCCCGAAGGUUUCAGGCUCCUGUGGUGUGGUGACAUCUAGGGGUAUUUACUGCGCUAGGAAUGAGAACAGAGAAAUCGGUUACAUUUAAACUUUUC
rnacentral:lncRNA from 1 species